UCAAUGACUUAGAUAUUGGCAUAGAAAGUACGCUUAUUAAGUUUGCAGAUGAUAUCAAACUGGGAGGGAUUGCAACUGCUUUGGAGGAUAGGGUCAUAAUUCAAAAUGAUCUGGACAAAUUGGAGAAAUGGUCUGAGGUAAACGGGAUGAAGUUUAAUAAAGACAAAUGCAAAGUGCUCCACUUAGGAAGGAACAAUCAGUUUCACAUAUACAGAAUGGGAAGAGACUGUCUAAGAAGGAGUACGGCAGAAAGGGAUCUAGGGGUUAUAGUGGACCACAAGCUAAAUAUGAGUCAACAGUGUGAUGCUGUUGCAAAAAAAGCAAACAUGAUUCUGGGAUGCAUUAACAGGUGUGUUGCGAGCAAGACACGAGAAGUCAUUCUUUUGCUCUACUCUGCGCUGGUUAGGCCUCAACUGGAGUAUUGUGUCCAGUUCUGGGCACCGCAUUUCAAGAAAGAUGUGGAGAAAUUGGAGAAGGUCCAGAGAAGCGCAACAGGAAUGAUUAAAGGUCUAGAGAACAUGACCUAUGAAGGAAGGCUGAAAGAAUUGGGUUUGUUUAGUUUGGAAAAGAGAAGACUGAGAGGGGACAUGAUAACAGUUUUCAGGUAUUUAAAAGGGUGUCAUAAGGAGGAGGGAGAAAACUUGUUCACCUUAGCCUCUAAGGAUAGAACAAGAAGCAAUGGGCUUAAACUGCAGCAAGGGAGGUUUAGGUUGGACAUUAGGAAAAAGUUCCUAACUGUCAGGGUAGUUAAACACUGGAAUAAACUGCCUAGGGAGGUUGUGGAAUCUCCAUCUCUGGAGAUAUUUAAGAGUAGGUUAGAUAAAUGUCUAUCAGGGAUGGUCUAGACAGUAUUUGGUCCUGCCAUGAGGGCAGGGGACUGGACUUGAUGACCUCUCGAGGUCCCUUCCAGUCCUAGAAUCUAUGAAUCAAAUAGGGGGGAAAAAACCCCAAAGUUAUUUUCCUUCUGAGUCUGGUUUUCAUAGGAGCUAUUGUUCUAUUCCCUAAGCUAAUGUAAGAGCAAUUUCAGUAGUCAGGUGCCUCU
rnacentral:lncRNA from 1 species